UACAGAGGUCCCAAGCGUUGUUCGGAUUCACUGGGCGUAAAGGGUGCGUAGGCGGUCGGGUAAGUCUGACGUGAAAUCUCCAAGCUCAACUUGGAAAUGGCGUCGGAUACUAUUCGGCUUGAGGAAUGGAGGGGAGACUGGAAUUCUCGGUGUAGCAGUGAAAUGCGUAGAUAUCGAGAGGAACACCAGUGGCGAAGGCGACUCGCUGGACCUUUUCUGACGCUGAGGCGCGAAAGCUAGGGGAGCAAACAGG
rnacentral:rRNA from 1 species